AACGAACGCUGGCGGCGUGCCUAACACAUGCAAGUCGAACGGAAGUAAAGAGCUUGCUCUUUACUUUAGUGGCGCACGGGUGAGUAACGCGUAGAUAAUCUGCCCGACGAUCCGGGAUAACAGUUCGAACGGACUGCUAAUACCGGAUAAGCCCACGUGGUCUUUGGACCGUGCGGGAAAAGGGGGGGACCUUCGGGCCUUCUGUCGUCGGAUGAGUCUGCGUACCAUUAGCUAGUUGGUAGGGUAAAGGCCUACCAAGGCGACGAUUGUUAGCUGGUCUGAGAGGAUGAUCGGCCACACUGGAACUGGGACACGGUCCAGACUCCUACGGGAGGCAGCAGUGGGGAAUUGUGCGCAAUGGGCGAAAGCCUGACGCAGCAACGCCGCGUGAGUGAUGAAGGCUUUCGGGUCGUAAAGCUCUGUCAGGGGGAAAGAAGUGUAUUGUGGCUAAUAUCCACGAUACUUGACGGUACCCCCAAAGGAAGCACCGGCUAACUACGUGCCAGCAGCCGCCGUAACAC
rnacentral:rRNA from 1 species